rnacentral:rRNA from 1 species
UGGCGGCGUGCUUAACACAUGCAAGUCGAACGAAGCGUCUCGCCCGAAGAAGCGAAGUGCUGCACGGAGUGGAUCAAUGAGACGACUUAGUGGCGGACGGGUGAGUAACGCGUGGGUAACCUGCCGUAUGCAGGGGGACAACAGUUGGAAACGACUGCUAAUACCGCAUAAGCGCACGGCUCGGCAUCGAGCAGUGUGAAAAGAUUUAUCGGCAUACGAUGGACCCGCGUCUGAUUAGCUAGUUGGUGAGGUAACGGCCCACCAAGGCGACGAUCAGUAGCCGACCUGAGAGGGUGACCGGCCACAUUGGGACUGAGACACGGCCCAAACUCCUACGGGAGGCAGCAGUGGGGAAUAUUGCACAAUGGGCGCAAGCCUGAUGCAGCGACGCCCGCGUGAGCGAUGAAGUAUUUCGGUAUGUAAAGCUCUAUCAGCAGGGAAGAUAAUGACGGUACCUGACUAAGAAGCUCCGGCUAAAUACGUGCCAGCAGCCGC